CUGGCCUCCGGGCUCUGGGGGGCUGGUGCUGGGAUGGGCCCAGCUUGGAGUGGAGAAGGUCAUACCUGCAUGUGUGUUUAGUUCUUACCAGCACACUGAGCACGUUGAACAAAACGAACUCAACUGCUUUCAUCUGACUUCUAAUAUGUGAAUGUUCUACCAGCAUCUCUGACUUCAGCUGAAUGAUGAGGAAGGAAGGACUGGAAGGAGAAGCAACUGUGGACUGCUCUAGUCUCCGCUUUCCUUCCAUGCCAUCCUUUUCAGCAUAGGUGGUUGGCAGAUAGAGGGAAGGAACACGAGGAAGAAAUGCCAAAGUAGGGGUCCUCGUCAUUAGUGUUUCAUACAAACCCACUGCCUUAUUUCUACAUUCAAGCAAGUUCUGGUUCCAACAGCAGGCUUGAUGUUGUCCGUGCCCCCUCCUUCCUCAUACACUCACCUUUGACUGACUUUGCGUCUCACUGGGCUCCCACUGGAAUUCUGUGCUCUUGGGGGAACUGCCAACCUCAUGGGGGCAGCGAGGAAUGGUGAAUACAUAUAUGGUGCGUGUCUUCUCUACUCAUGCAUUCCCCGUUGUCCCACAACAGACUGCUUACAAAGCACAAGUUCAAAGAUACAAUUAUUAAGAAUUUCAGGACAAUGACAGCAGAGGAUUAAACCAAGCACAUGGCCCUGCUGAGCACAGGGCCAUGUGUAUCUAUACAAAUUGCACACCCGUGAAGCCAGCCUAGGCAAGAAGUCACCCAGAUCCUAGACUGAGAACACUGUUGCUAGUUUUCCGUCCUCAAGCAAAUAAUCCAUCUGCAGCAAAAACAGCAACAACAACAACAAAACUUCACUAGAUUCCAUCUUUCCUCCACUGGGGUUUCCUCCUUCUCUAACCAAGUCUCACUCUGCAGUGUCACAGCUUUGAAGACAGAAUUCAUCUGUUGAUAUCUCCCUAAUCUGCUGAAGCCUUGGGUUACAGCCCAGGCUUUGGAAAUGAAGCAUCUAUCCAAGUCCCACCCACCACUUUCGAGCUUGGCUCCAUCAAGCAGAUCUUCUGCCUGAUACGUACUUGCUGCUGCUGCUGCUGCUGCUAAGUCACUUCAGUCGUUCACCAUCUACAAUCAAAUGAAAAAAUACUUAGCUUUGCUUCAUGAGAAAUUUUGCUAUUAUCUACUACUUGAUCAAUUAUUACUUACCUCACCACUGCUCCAAAGUCUCCUCAGGGAUCUCUUGGGCUAGUGUGACAGGUUCUCAGCAAUGACUUUGGUAAUACAUUCAAUUGAUGUUGACAUGGGAGAAUUAGAGUUCGAGGCUCAAAGGGUCAAGAGGAAGACAGACCUAAAUUCCUGAUGAGCUCUAGAAGCAAGGGAAUUUUUCCUUCCUUCCAUCAUCAACUGCCUCCCUGCUUCUUUACCUUGAAGGAGCAAAGCUAGAGGGCACCUCAGAAAUGUGAGGUGGACUAGAAUGGAAAUAGGAUGGCAUUAGGAAUGCAUCCAGCAAAGAGAACGAAGACACUACUGACCCACCAUCAUUGGAUCGGGGACUUUGAGACUUGAGUUUUUCAACCUUAAUCUAGUUUUCCUUUUUUCCCCUGGUCCUUCAG
ensembl:lncRNA